ensembl:lncRNA
CCUGCUUAGAGCUGGCAGCGCCCGCGGUGCUGGCGGAGGCCCCCGAGCGUAUCGCGGAGCACGUAGCUUGCACGGAGCUGUCGGCGGCCUCGUGGAAGCAAGCCUGAAAGGAGCGGCUAUCCAGACGUGAUCCAGGCAGAGCACUCGCUAGGAUCUUGUUGCCCUUUGGGCUAUUCUGUUUCACUUUGUGCAUAAGUGAAAAAAAAAAAAAAUUAGCCCAAGGACACUCGCAUGGGAAAUAGGAUAGGCAGUGUGUGUUGAGCCACCUGUGAUGCUGUUGUUCCUCUGCAAUUUAGGGGAAGCCGGCGGCUAAAAUGUUCUCAGUUGAGUUUGUCGAGAAGCAGAGACUGAUGUGAUCUCUGCUGUACCAUUCUUCACAGUAGCUGAGAUGGAGAGUGGAAGAUAUUCCUUCAUGUGCUUCAAAGUACUGUAGCAGUGCAGAUGUGAAGGAGUGUGAGCUGUUCUGGCCACGCUGACACACCUUUGGAAUGUUCCAUUUCCCAUAAGUAAGAAGAAGCCAGUAAGAGGUAAGAGUCUCAGCAUCAUCUUUACGCUAUCCAAGGAUUGUUUCAUUUCAAGGCAAACACAGCUAAUCCAACCUCUACUUAUUUCUGCU